ensembl:lncRNA
ACACACACACACACUCCGUCUCUCACACUCCGAGCUCAGACAAGGUUUUGACGCGUGGUGCUCUGAGCUUCUGGAAACCAGUUGUCUCCAGACAGACGGAGGAUCUCCGGGAACAGAUCUCCGUCUCAAACCUCCACAUUCGGUUCCACUCGGAGAAGAGGAGGUCUUGGGGCAAUUUUUGUUUCGUGCAUAUUUGGAAUAACGUCCGUCCGUGGAGCUCACUCACCGAGGAGGAGACAGCUCCACGCUCCGGCUCUUUCGUCCAUCUCUCGUUCCGCUGACCCCAGGCCAGUGGAGGUGCGUUCCGUAGGGUUCUGCUCGGCGGACGGCUCCCCGUGGCGCUCAGAGUCUGCAGCCCGCUGCGGACCUCUGGGGCUCACACAGACGCACACUUUUUCGUAACGUUCAGAUCGUUCUAAUUCGGGGUCGGAGGAAACAUUUGGAAACGGUGGAGGUGAAAGCUCUGCGCAUGUGGGAUUCCUGCAGUCGACUCGAGGAGGUUCAGAGGAGAAGGAUUUCAAAAAUGUUCCUCCCUGUCUGCAGGAGACCCGACGAUUCUUCGGCCAUUGUGCAUCUUCACUCAUCAUCUUCCUCUCCUGGAAGGGACCGGCUUUAACCUGGCCACUGGAACCAUAUUGGAACCAUAUUUCCCUUUAUCAAGACCAGUCAGUAAAGUGUUGUAGACUCUCUGAGAGGCUCCCGAGCCGCUCCGGCAGAAAAGGUGAACACCGGAGGGAACUCAGACGGACACCGUCGACUUCUCCAAAUUGUCACCGAAAGCACAGACGAUCCUGCCGAGACCAGCGCGUGCGGAGCGGCGAGUAGCGAGUCUGUCCAUUCCGCUCCCGUCCGCUGCCCCGAUGGCCCAAGGAAACUGAAACGGAUCCUCCUGGAAACGGAUCCCUCCUGUAAACGGAUCCCUCCUGGAAACAGAUCCUCCUGUGGAUUCCUCUGGACGAUUCUCGGCUGUCUCCGUCCAGCUGAGCCUGGACACACCUUGUUAAUGUCAAUCAAGGGUUCUCUGGAUUUCCUCGUGACACCCGCACAAGUUUGGAUGUGGGUGGUGGCUGUACCGGGGCAGGCAGGCCGAG